CCCUCUCACAGCUUCCUAGGGCCCCCUCUCAUGGCUCUGUGCACCUGUGUCUGUCAUUGUCGUCCUCUCCCCUCCCCCCGCCCCGCUUGUCCAAUGUGUCCUGAUAUUUCACUCUUGCAAUCUGGUCACCCUACCUCCAUCAGGCAGUGGAGUAUCCCACUGGUGCCCAUCCAUGGGGUGCUGCUAAUCCCGUUAGCUCACCUCCCACCCUUCACCAGCCACCGAGGUAGCCCUAGUGUGACCAGAUGUCCCAAAUCCAAUAUUGGGGGCUGUGUGUUACAGACGCAACUAUACCCCCUCCCAUGAAAAAAAGGGUCCAGAAUUUUCACACUUGCUAUCUGGUGACUCCAGGUAGCCCCAGCCCCUGACCCCUGCUCCCCUAGUCACUGAGUAUCUCUGCUUCUGCCCUCAGUUGCACCCAGGACAUUUCACCCUGACUCAAGGGAGCCUGGUGUGAGGAAGUUUCCCAGCCCCCAAGGCAGCUGUGUCAUAUCCUUUCCUCAGCACCAGCUCAAGGAGUUGUGCGGUUGUUUUUAGGGCUUGUUCUCUUCAUAGCUCUGGAGAAAUUAAUUAUUGCUGCGGAAGAGGGGAAAAAACACUUGAAAAAGAGAAGUUGCAGCAGGAUCAGCUCCGGAUGCCUUCCAGUCUCUCUGUGAUGUGACACGUCCGUCUUUGACUCAGCCUGAAACUGCUGAGGCCAGCUUGGAAUUUCCUCCUGCGGGGUUAGCUCUAUAAAAAGAAAAGAUGCACCAAACAGCUGGAGAGGGCGAGAGAGAGGAGACAGCAGCACUUCAGCCUGAGAGCUUUGUUGCUUCCCGCCAGGGUAACACAAUGGUUCCUCGUAUUCCUUCUUAUCAAUGCCUGGACGAUCUUUUCUACCGUUUUGUUCCAUCAAUCACCAGGGGGUGCACUAGCCUAGUGAGUAUACAGCGCACUUCCAUCAAACACGAGAACUGUGCCAAAUGCACUGCGAUGAAAGGGGUGCUGGGGAGCACUCCUCUCAUGAGCUACCUCCUUCCCCACCACCGUGUUCACACUGUGAGAAGUGUGAUUUCCUUUGAUUGUUUGCACUGUUGGUGUCAUCGUGUUGGGCCCGGGAUAUUCAAGAGACAAGGUGGGUGAGGGAAUAUCUUUUACUGGACCAACUUCUCAACAGUUUGCCUCUUUCACCAACAGCAAUUGGUCCAGUGAAAGAUUAAAUUAGCUCACCUCCCUUCUCUCUGUUUCCUUUGAUGGCAGGACUGUAGAUCUGCCCUAUCUUUGCUAGGAUGUUAUUGAUUCUGAGUCAUUACCAUCCUGGGUUAUACUCAGCCCCCUCUGUGUAACACACACCCAGGGCAAUGAAUUCUGUGCGCCUACCACGGGAACGGUCUGACUUAGGAACUAGGAAUAAAGGAGAAGUGCAUCUCCGCA
rnacentral:lncRNA from 1 species